AGUCAGGGCUGUUAAUUUUAUUUGCUAAUAACAUUUUAAAACACCGUUCACCAUAAAAUAUAAAAUUUCCUUUGGUCAUUUAGUGAAAAAUUCUGAUAUAUGAUCCACUUACCUAGUUUUAAAUAAGUUUAUGCAAGUAAACCUCAGAGGGCGCCCCCCGCCCCGCCAUUAAUAAGUGACACUUCCGUUUCUUAGGUCUACACUCAGCAUCGCACAUGCAAUACGCGUUGAGCACCGUGUCCCUGUGUGUUCUUGGCUGAGUCAGAAUUCAUAGUUAUCGUCCAAGCUCUAACAACCCGGGCAGUUACUCUGUCCACGCUGAGGAACCCGUGCUCCAAGGAAACGCAGCCAUAGGCUACCGGCGACACACUUGGGGGUGAUGCACCAUGAUGGAGGGGCGCACACAGAGCAGACCUUGUCCUUGAAAUCACUUCUGCACCACUGGUAAAAAGAUGCGGGUAUUCUUGGACUAAGUGCCUAAUGGCUGGUUUAGACAGUAAGUGGGCACCUAGAGCAUGGUCGGCCCAGAGGCCCUGAGCAGGAGGCAGCCCCCAAAGAGGAGUGAGUCUCAGCAACUGGGAGAGGCCAAAGGCCUGGAUGAGGGCGCAGAAAUGAAGCCGCAUGUCAGCAAGCGGCCAGCCGGUUUUUGCCCUCACAGAAAGUAGUAAAAGGUGAAUACCUCGUGCUUCCCUCCCACAAAUCUGCACUCUCCUACACAGACACACACACACACACUUGGGAUCCCUUGGCUUCCAGCCAGGCUUUUCCCACCAGCUGAUUAACUUCAUUGUGGUUUUUUUUGUUUUUGGGGGGGUUUUUUUGGCUAUACCGAGUGGUUUGCAAGAUCUUAGUUCCCCCACCAGGGAUGGAACCCGGGCCCUUGGCAGUGAAAGUGCAGAGUCCUAACCACUGGACCGCCAGGGAUUCCCAGGACAUAUUCUUUAGUACAGCUUUAAGUAGGUUAAAAAACAAUUAAUCCCCAACUUACAAACGAGUGAGUGUUCAAAAGAUGUGCUCUAAUUGAAGUGCAGUUGCCUAGCACUCAGAACGGACCUCCAUAAGCAGAAAAACUAUAUAACUUAGCCCCCAAAACAGGACACCACAUGGAGGGGAGCUGAGAAUGAGAAGCCUAAACUGCGACCACAUCAGGCAAGCCUGCACGUACGGCUACACUACCCAUAGACAGCUGAAUAAACAGUAGGCUCCCGAGCCCAUGAAAUUUGUAACUUACCUAAAACAUCUCUGUAAGCAAAAUAACAACGUGAGAAGCCACUACUCAGAGCACAUCAAGAAGGGAAUGUAUUGGUUCCCUGACAGACAGUUGAUGACAAUGGAGCAAGGAGACCAAAGAAAGGUUCAGAGAACAGUGCAAGGAACAACAAAUUCUAGGAAGGCAUUCCCAGAAUUUUCUCAGCUCCUAGACCCAUACUGAUACAGCUGUUAAGUCACUAACGAGAAAUAAUGCAGUAUCUGUAAUUUGUGUAAAGAAUAUACAACCAUAAUAGGAAAUAAAUUUUAGCAAUUAAGUUUCA